AAACAACACACUCCGAUUUCUGUUGUAGACUGCCUUUUCUGUGAUGUAUGUAUGAUGUUUCUGGGGGUGGUCUUGGACUCCAGGGCAGGAAAUUUAAAAUGUCUAUAUAAGGGCAGGCACACCUUUGUUCUGGGUCCUCCUCUCUCCUGCGUGUGGGGGGAGCACCCUGUUGCAACAGUUAAUAAAGAUUAGGCUUACUAGCAGCUUUGCUUCUC